GACCUCAAGAGCGGCUUUUGCUUCAUUGAAAGGCUUUCAGUUCGCUCUCCUCGCUCACCUUGAUGCUUUCUAGAUUUGGCAUAUGGGAGUAGGCUUGAGGGAGUUGCUGCAUAGCUUGUAAGAAGCCAUCGAAACAUCUCUUCAUCUAAUGGUUGAAGAAUUGUUACCGAUGAUUUUCUUGCAAGUUAUGCAGCUGCUGCCUUAAGCUUGUUACUUCACCCUGCAAGAACUUGUGUUUUCAACAGACAAAAAAACAUGGAAAUUGUUAGCUAGCACUUUGUGCCCCACUGAAUCAUUCAUUGUUUGACAUCUUUCGGCCAUCAUUCAGCUUUAAUGAAGCAUACCUGGAAGCUAUUGAGUAUCAUCAUUUGGUCUCAAGGAAAAUCCUAAUAAUGUUUUCAAGCUGCUUUGUUCCUAAAUCCAGAAGAUGAAGAAGACUAUGAUGUCAGACAAUAUGAUGAAGAAGAACAACAAGAUAAGGUUGUGCAGGUUUAUAAUGAUGAUUAAUCUUAGUAUAACUAAAUUAGUCUCUAGAUUUGUUUAUGGGAUGUAUAAACCAACUUGCACUUAUGUAUUGAACGUAGGUAUUCCCUUGAGAAUAUUCAUGCAAACUUGAGCGCUUAAAUUUUGUAUUUUGCUAAGUUUUUUUUUUUAUUGCUAUGAUAGUUCCAUUUGCCACAUUAGUUGAUUUUCUCUUCAACAGUUUAUUUGUAAUCUUUUUUAACCUUCGUGUAUGUUAAAUCUUAAGCAGCAAAUAUGAGGAUUAACUAUUAAUGUGUACUAGUAUAAUGUUUGUUCUAUUUUUAGACAACAUAGAGUUAUACCUGUUAGCAUGUCAAUCUCUAAUGGUUUGGCUUUAACUGAAUGUUUUAAGGCAUUUUGUGCUCUCUCAACCUUAAACCCUAGGAUUAAGCUCAAGUUCAUGUUAAGACAGUGCCUCAAACUCAACUCACUCUCAUACAACCCCAGUAUCAGGUAGGCUAAAUUCUGUCCUAGUUACAUAAAAGCAUAAAAUUAAGGUGAGUUUUAUGCAAAUCUUCAUCCUAAUAUCUUUUUUUUCUUUUCUGCUUUAUGGGCCGAGUUGUAAAAUACCUUAUUCUGCGGUGAACGAUUGAAAAUCGUUUUUUUAAUUGUGCGGAGGAUAAGAAAAUAAAACAUUUUGCACUUCAUAAUCUUAUCAAAUAAUAUACCUUUCCUCCCCUAAACACAUGACAUUUUCCUCCUUCAAAAGGGGUUAUUUACAUACAUACCACCCAAUUCCCAUCUAUUUAAAUAUCCAAUUCCAUAAAUUU